ensembl:lncRNA
CUUAAACUUUUAGAAGCCUACAAUGAAAUGGACUGACAAUUUUCUGAAGGAGGGACAAAUUCCAGAUCUUUCUUAGGGCAUACAUGCGUCUUUAAGUCACUUCAGUUUUGUUUGACUCUUUGUGACCCUAUGGACUGUAGCCCACCAGGCUCCUCUGAUCAUGGAAUUCUCUAGGCAAGAAUACUGGAGCGGGCUGCCAUGCCCUCCUCCAAGGGACCUUCUUGAUCCAGGAAUCGAAUCCAUGUCUCCUGUGGCUCCUGCAUUGUAGGAGGAUUCUUUACCACUGAGCCACCGGGGAAGCUCAAACUUUCUUAGGCGUCCUGUUAAAAGGCUCCUUCUCUUAGAGUCUGUAAUGUGGAGGUUGCAGAAAUGGGCUUCUUUAUUUCUUCCCAGGCCUCCAGAGGAUCAUUUUCCAUUUUUUUCUCUUUUUCCAUAUUAAACAGAGCAUCAUACAUUCCUGAGCAUGCUUCUCCCACAGAUUUGUUUUGACAAGCAGUGGGGGAAGUUGGGAGGCCUGUAGAAUGGGCUGCAAGAUAACCUGAGGAUCUAGGAGAGCCCUUUCCAAAACAAUGGUUGAUUAUUUCCAGCUCUCUCUCAAGCUGGUCUUCUCAGAGAGCAGCCCUCAUCAAAGGGAGACAGGCUGCUCUCUGAUUACCUUCACCCUUGUCAGAGGUGUGUUCAGAGGCUUCCAUCACCCUGACGGUGACCUGCUAACAUCCAUGCCUCUGGUCAAAGUGCUGGUCGGGGCCACUUUGUCCAGGUGGACAGAACAAAGGACUGAGGAAGUCCCAGGUCCAACAGUGUUCUGAAGGAGCUAUUCUGCCAUCCUCAGAGGUGCCUGGAAAAGAUAGUGAGCUUGAAAUACUCUUUCUUCUUCGGUUUUGGACUAAGGAUGUGUUGCAAGAGAGAUUUAGGAGUUGAGAGUAAAAUACAGAUUAUUCAGAAAUGAAUGAACUCACAACUGAUUUUACGUCAGUGUUCACUUUAACUAGUAGAAUGUGAUCAAGGAUCCGGGGUGGUGGACCCAAUUCCUUUUUUUGAAAAGCUUUAUAUUUUGUACUGAGGUAUAGCUAGCUGGCAUUGUUGUGAUAGUUUCAGAUGGACAGUGAUGGGACUCAGCCAUACACAGACAUGUAUCCAUGCUGAUGGGGAACCCCGUUCUUUAGCUCUUCCAGCAAUCACCAAGGAGAGGUAAGUAUUAGCUAUCAGAUCCCUUUAGCUAAAUUUCAGACUAAAGACAAUGAAUAAAGGGGCUCAAUGUGAUUAGCCACCUGAGGAGUGCAGAUUAAAACCACCAGGAGAGACACAUACAUCAGAAUGGCCAAAACUUAAAAAGCCUGACAUACUUAAGUGCUGGUGAAGAUGGAG